CUAAUUACCUCUAGUCUAUGAAUCUGCCUAUUCUAGAUACCUCAUCAGGGCCCUUUACUCCUGUUCCCUCUGCCUGGCUUCUUCAUAUUCAGGUUAUAGUUCCAUUGCCACCACCUCAGAGAAGCCUUCCUUGACCACCUCACCAAAGCAGCACUCCCCUAUCAGGCCAAGUCUUAUCAAGUGUUUUUUGAAUGAACGAGUAACAGUGGAAUAUAAGGAACUAUGAAUUACAGAUGCUUUGCUACACUCUCAAAUUAAGGGAGGGUGUUUCAGCAAAAACCUGGCACAGGAAUGGAACUGUUAUAAAUAUGACCAUUAUCUAUUAUGAGUGUCUUGGUGCAAAGUAGGUUGAAAAUCUCUGGCCUAGAGCCCUAAAUCCAAACCACUUACAGUGGCUCACAAGGUCUUUCAUGUUCCUUACCACCCUCUCCAGCCUCCUCUCCCCCAGCCUCAUGGAACCACCCCACUUACACUCUGCAAAAUGCAAUGUGCUUCCUCUCACCUCUGCACAUGCUUUCUUCCCCCCAUCUGCAUUAUGCUACUCUCUACCUUUGUUUGCCUGGAAAACUCCUAUUUUCCCUCAAGAUUCCGUUCAGACAUCUUCUCUCCUGUGAAGCCUCAUGAUAGCCCAAGAGGUCAGUGCUCCUGCCUCUCUGCUGCUGGAUGGCC
rnacentral:lncRNA from 1 species